AAAUUGAAGAGUUUGAUCAUGGCUCAGAUUGAACGCUGGCGGCAGGCCUAACACAUGCAAGUCGAACGGUAACAGGAAGCAGCUUGCUGCUUUGCUGACGAGUGGCGGACGGGUGAGUAAUGUCUGGGAAACUGCCUGAUGGAGGGGGAUAACUACUGGAAACGGUGGCUAAUACCGCAUAACGUCGCAAGACCAAAGAGGGGGACCUUCGGGCCUCUUGCCAUCAGAUGUGCCCAGAUGGGAUUAGCUAGUUGGUGAGGUAACGGCUCACCAAGGCGACGAUCCCUAGCUGGUCUGAGAGGAUGACCAGCCACACUGGAACUGAGACACGGUCCAGACUCCUACGGGAGGCAGCAGUGGGGAAUAUUGCACAAUGGGCGCAAGCCUGAUGCAGCCAUGCCGCGUGUAUGAAGAAGGCCUUCGGGUUGUAAAGUACUUUCAGCGGGGAGGAAGGUGUUGUGGUUAAUAACCGCAGCAAUUGACGUUACCCGCAGAAGAAGCACCGGCUAACUCCGUGCCAGCAGCCGCGGUAAUACGGAGGGUGCAAGCGUUAAUCGGAAUUACUGGGCGUAAAGCGCACGCAGGCGGUCUGUCAAGUCGGAUGUGAAAUCCCCGGGCUCAACCUGGGAACUGCAUUCGAAACUGGCAGGCUUGAGUCUUGUAGAGGGGGGUAGAAUUCCAGGUGUAGCGGUGAAAUGCGUAGAGAUCUGGAGGAAUACCGGUGGCGAAGGCGGCCCCCUGGACAAAGACUGACGCUCAGGUGCGAAAGCGUGGGGAGCAAACAGGAUUAGAUACCCUGGUAGUCCACGCCGUAAACGAUGUCUACUUGGAGGUUGUGCCCUUGAGGCGUGGCUUCCGGAGCUAACGCGUUAAGUAGACCGCCUGGGGAGUACGGCCGCAAGGUUAAAACUCAAAUGAAUUGACGGGGGCCCGCACAAGCGGUGGAGCAUGUGGUUUAAUUCGAUGCAACGCGAAGAACCUUACCUGGUCUUGACAUCCACAGAACUUUCCAGAGAUGGAUUGGUGCCUUCGGGAACUGUGAGACAGGUGCUGCAUGGCUGUCGUCAGCUCGUGUUGUGAAAUGUUGGGUUAAGUCCCGCAACGAGCGCAACCCUUAUCCUUUGUUGCCAGCGAUUAGGUCGGGAACUCAAAGGAGACUGCCAGUGAUAAACUGGAGGAAGGUGGGGAUGACGUCAAGUCAUCAUGGCCCUUACGACCAGGGCUACACACGUGCUACAAUGGCGCAUACAAAGAGAAGCGACCUCGCGAGAGCAAGCGGACCUCAUAAAGUGCGUCGUAGUCCGGAUUGGAGUCUGCAACUCGACUCCAUGAAGUCGGAAUCGCUAGUAAUCGUGGAUCAGAAUGCCACGGUGAAUACGUUCCCGGGCCUUGUACACACCGCCCGUCACACCAUGGGAGUGGGUUGCAAAAGAAGUAGGUAGCUUAACCUUCGGGAGGGCGCUUACCACUUUGUGAUUCAUGACUGGGGUGAAGUCGUAACAAGGUAACCGUAGGGGAACCUGCGGUUGGAUCACCUCCUUA
rnacentral:rRNA from 22 species